rnacentral:misc_RNA from 1 species
GUGUAAAAGAACAGGCAAAUUUGUGCAUGAAAUGUCAUAUUCUUUUUCUCUUAUUUACCAAAAUAAAGAAAUUCAAGAAAUAACCAGCACUUUUUUUUUUUUACGUAUGUUAAAGACACCAUGAACGAUCGCUUGCUUCAGAAAGAAGUGAUCUGGGUAUGAACCAAUGAGAGAAUACCCUUCAAAAGAGACAAAACCGUAUCUUGCUAUGCAGUCAAAAGGAGCCGCUAGAUUAAAUAUUAUUAUAGUACUCAGCUGGUUAUACGUGAAACAAUUAAAAUAUAACCCUGGAGAUUAUGCUCAGAAAAAAUGUAAUAGGCAGACAAGUAUGGAUUCCAUUGGAUUUUUGCGAAAUAUGGAAGAAACUUCUUGGACAAAUCCAUCAAAAUUUUCUACGAAAUAUGAAGUAAAUAGAAAAAAAGGAUAACAAGAUAAAGUGGAGGUGAUAUGAAAAGACAAUAGGAUCAUUUUGAUCAUGGAAAGAGAGAGAGAGAAGAGGAGAAAGAAGCGAGAAAGAAAAACUCAAGAAAACUGAACAUCAGAGGAAGAAAAAUUUCCCAGAGAAAAAGAACACAGGCUAGGACUUCAUUUUUAAGUGUUUAUUUCAUGCCAUAAGAAACAAAAGGUGGUAAAGAGAUCAUAUAUGUGGUAGUCCACAGAUAGAUUAUGAUGGGAAACUAACCAGUGAUGAUAGCAGUUAAAUUG